rnacentral:rRNA from 1 species
UACAGGGGGGGCAAGCGUUGUUCGGAAUUACUGGGCGUAAAGGGCUUGUAGGUGGCCAACUAAGUCACACGUGAAAUCCCCAGGCUUAACCUGGGAACUGCGUGUGAUACUGGAUGGCUUGAAUCCGGGAGAGGGAUGCGGAAUUCCAGGUGUAGCGGUGAAAUGCGUAGAUAUCUGGAGGAACACCGGUGGCGAAGGCGGCAUCCUGGACCGGCAUUGACGCUGAGGAGCGAAAGCCAGGGGAGCAAACGGG